AUUCAAGACACGAUGAUAUCAUUUCGGAGCCAUAACGCUCAUACACGCUGUACCGACGAGUGGUUCAACAAAUUGCGAACCGAAACAACUGAGGUGAUGACGCUGCUACACGGUGGAUAUGUAUUCAUGGCUACCAAGACCAAAACCCAGAACCCACAUCGCAGCAACAUCGAAACUUUCCACUGGCAGUCCAUCGAGGAGGCGCUGAUGGUUUGAACUGCACAUAUAGCUCUGGACCAAACAGCGUAUGGAUACAAAUCAUUAAAUUCAAUUUACGUUUUCGAUAACUGCACGAUGUUUAAAACCACUUCCUUUGACGAUUAGCAGAAGGUUCAAUGAUUCCACUGGUUUAUCAAACAAACAGAUAACCCAAGUUCAAGAGGUAAAGGCCAAACGCAAACCUGGCUGCAAAUCAAAAUGGGUUGAAGUGUCUGUUUCCUCUACCGAAAUUUGCAAAAUUUACUGAAAAUUAGAUUACAAGUUAUGAAAAGAAUUUGGUUGACUAACAAACGAUGUACAAUUUUUACAUUGCAUUCCUUUCAUGUUUCAUGGCGUACGGUUUGAAGCAUCAUGCGAGAGGCUUUCAUCUAGAAGAAGACGAUCUUUUGUUUAUGUUUUCUCAAGCUGUAACUCAUCUGAGAAAACUGGCACGAUCCAUAUUAAUGAACGAAAAUAGAAAAGUGUUUUAAGGGCUGUACGUGUGCUCUUAAAACUCUUUCAAUGGA